AUCACUUUCAUCUUGAAGUACCGUGGAGAAUUAUGGUAUCACCACAGGAAGUGCCUUGCCCGCUAGAAGCAAGCACACUGGGAAGAGGUAGAAGCGGUCAUUCAAGCAAGUUCUCCACUCCCUACCCAGUGCUUCUUGGGACCCCCUUCCGAAUAUAUUACUUGCACUUGGGUCUUUGUCUCUGGAUCUGCUGCUGGAGGCCCCCAAACCAAGGCCACCAUCUCACCUCCCCCAGGACCUUGCAUUCACAAAGAAAGAUGGAGUGAGCCUCCAGAGGUCUCAGAGCUGGCUAUUGGAAGAGCCAGAGCUAAGAAGACACCACUAUUGGUGCUCAAUAGUGCUCUCCACAUAACCACCAACAUGCACCCAGUGCCUGUCUUGAGCAUCCUUACAUCCCCAGGUAAAUAUUUCUCAAAGGAAAAAUGAUCAAUAGAAAAUGAGAGGUGGAGCAUUAAGAAUAAAAGGACAGCAUGCAUCCCUUCCAAGAGAACACCUACAUAGUUGCUGGCACUGAGGAAAGUCCCAGAAAUGCUAGUUGUUGUUAUUUUUUCUUUUACUGUUUAGCAUGAACAAACCAUAUGCACAAAAUAAUGCAUUGUGUGUUGACUGCUGGAACAAUAAUAAUGAAAAAUGGGAUACUCACUGUCCAACACUUCUGAAACUACUUUAUCCUAGUUUUUUUACUAAGUCCCUUGAUAACGAUACAUAUAUUAUUGGGCUUCCCUUGUUUCUGAACUUUAUAUAAAUAAAGUCAUACUAUUUUAUGUUUAUGUAAACUUCUUUUUCACUCAGUAUUGUUUAUAUGUGCAUGUGUACAGUUGUAUUUUAUUCACUUUAACUGCUGUAUAGUAUUCUAUUAUAUGCUUAUAUCACAAUUUCUUUAUCCAUUGCACUGGUGCUGGACAUUUGGCUUUUUGGUGCUUGCCUCUUACAGAUAAGGCUGUUCUACACAUGGUCUUACGUUACUCUUGGGCCAUGUGCACAAGAGUUUUUGCAAAAUGUCUGCUUAGAAGUACAAUUAACAGGCUGGAGGUUUCUGCAUGUUAACUUCACUAGGCAAUGCCAUAUUCUUUUCCAAAGUUUUAUUAUAUCAACUUAUUAUAUGCAUACUUCUUAAAAGUGUAUGAGGAUUAAUAUUGCUCCAACAUAUAGAAGCAAUCAACAACUGGCAUAAUCACUUUCUAGUUUUGCCAUUUAUGUGGGCAUAAAUGGUGUCUUCUUGUGAUAGCAAUAAUUAAUGAAGUUGAGAAGCUUUUCCAUUGUUUAUAGGUCUUUUGAAUUGCUCUUGCUGUGAAAUAUUUACUACUGUCUUUUGUGGAAUUUUCUAUGGGAUAGGUAUAGAUUGUUGUAGGUAGACUUCUAAUAUGGCCUCCACUGAUCCCCACUUCACAAUAUGUAUGCUGCUGUGUGAUUCCUCUCCUUAAGUAUAGGCUGUUUUUAAUAACCAAUAAGAUACAGAAAAAGUGAUGGGAUACCGCCUAAGAUUAGGUCAUUCAACAGUGCGGCUUGUGUCUUGCUAGCAUGCUCUCUCUUGCUGGCAAUCAUUCCUGCUCUCUUCCUUUCUUGCUCUGAUGACGCCAGCUGCGCCGUGUUGUGAGCUGCUCUAAGGAGGGGCACAUGUGGCAAAGAACAGAUGGAGGCCUCCAGCCCACAGCUACUAAGAUGCUGGGGCCUUAGUUCAACAGCCCGUGAAGAACUGAAUCCUGCCAACAACCACAUGAGUGUGCGCUUGGAAGCGGAACCUGACCAGUCACCUAGGAGACCCUGAAGUAGAGCACCCAGCUAAGCCACAUCCAGAUUCCUGAAGCAUGGAAACUAAUGAAUUCAAGAUGAGAAGAUGUAUCUGCUGGAAGCCAUAUCCUUUCCAGGAAAGGCUGAGGCAUUCUCAGCUUGAGAGUGUGUUUUCCAAGAGGCUGGUUGGAGGAGACUCGGUUAGAGUUGGAAAUUUUUACCUAGAGGCACUAGAGACAUCAAGGAACCUCCCACUCCCCGUGACAGGUACAGGAAGCAAAAGUACUACAAGUUGAGCAUCUCUAAUCUGAAAAUCCAAAAUCCAAAACUUUCUGAGCACUGACAUGAUGCCACGGGUGAAAAAUUCUUCAACUGAAUGCAUGUGACAAGUCACAAUCAAAACACAAUGUGCUAAAAAUGUUGUAUAAAGUUACAUGUCAGGUAAUGGUCACAGGUUUUGGGGAUCAGGACAUGGAUAUAUUUGGGGGCCAUGAUUCAGCCAACCACAGACCUCAAAUUGAAAUUUAGCAAUCCUUCAUAUUAUAAACAAAAAUCCAUAAUAGUAUUGGCACUACCUGGAACUUGAUCACCAAUAGAAAUCAGAUAUUUUUUAGGUUGCAUGACAGCUUUUGCAGAUAUCUUGAAUUUAUAGAAGGUACCAUACCCACCACCAGAUCUUAUUAGUUAACACAUUACUAAAAACAUACAGCUAGUGCUAUUUCAUAGAUGUGGUUUUAUUAAAAAAAACUUUUGAUCAGUACAAGUUGUCUUCUUUAUAGUCAUAUAUUUUAUUAUGCAUUCAAAACUUAAAUCUGAGAUUCUUUACCUUUGUCAAACUGGCAUAAAACACCUGUCCUAAAGAUUGUCAUCAUCUGGGACCAAUGUUGUGGCAUAAUGAGUUGGACCACUGCCUGCAACACUGGCAUCUCAUGUAGACAUGGGUUUGAGUCCCAGAUGCUCCAUUUCCAAUCCAGCUCUCUGCUAAUGUGCCUGGAAAGCAGUGGAAGAUGGCCUAAGUGCUCGGGCUUCCGCACCCAUGUGGGAGACCCAGAUGAAGCUCCUGGCUCCUGGCUUCCAAUCUGCCCAGCUCCAGCCAUUACAGCCAUUUGGGGAGUGAACCAGAAGAUGGAAGAUUCUUUCUCUCCCCACCCCUUCUCCCUCUCUC